AUUGAACGCUGGCGGCGUGCUUAACACAUGCAAGUCGAACGGUGAAGCAGAGCUUGCUCUGUGGAUCAGUGGCGAACGGGUGAGUAACACGUGAGCAACCUGCCCCGGACUCUGGGAUAAGCGCUGGAAACGGCGUCUAAUACCGGAUACGAGAUUCCACCGCAUGGUGAGUUUCUGGAAAGAUUUUUUGGUCUGGGAUGGGCUCACGGCCUAUCAGCUUGUUGGUGAGGUAAUGGCUCACCAAGGCGUCGACGGGGGGCCGGCCUGAGAGGGUGACCGGCCACACUGGGACUGAGACACGGCCCAGACUCCUACGGGAGGCAGCAGUGGGGAAUAUUGCACAAUGGGCGGAAGCCUGAUGCAGCAACGCCGCGUGAGGGAUGACGGCCUUCGGGUUGUAAACCUCUUUUAGCAGGGAAGAAGCGAAAGUGACGGUACCUGCAGAAAAAGCGCCGGCUAACUACGUGCCAGCAGCCGCGGUAAUAC
rnacentral:rRNA from 1 species